CCUACGGGUGGCAGCAGUGAGGAAUAUUGGUCAAUGGGCGCGAGCCUGAACCAGCCAAGUAGCGUGAAGGAUGACUGCCCUACGGGUUGUAAACUUCUUUUAUAAGGGAAUAAAGUGCGGCACGUGUGCCUGUUUGUAUGUACUUUAUGAAUAAGGAUCGGCUAACUCCGUGCCAGCAGCCGCGGUAAUACGGAGGGGCCGAGCGUUAUCCGGAUUUAUUGGGUUUAAAGGGAGCGUAGAUGGGUUGUUAAGUCAGUUGUGAAAGUUUGCGGCUCAACCGUAGAACUGCAAUUGAUACUGGCAGUCUUGAGUACAGGUGAGGUAGGCGGAAUUCGUGGUGUAGCGGUGAAAUGCUUAGAUAUCACGAGGAACUCCGAUUGCGAAGGCAGCUUACUAGACUGCCACUGACGUUGAGGCUCGAAAGUGUGGGUAGCAAACAGGAGUAGAUACCCUGGUAGUC
rnacentral:rRNA from 1 species